rnacentral:rRNA from 1 species
UACAGAGGUGGCAAGCGUUGUUCGGAAUUACUGGGCGUAAAGGGCGCGUAGGCGGCCUACUAAGUCAGACGUGAAAUCCCCCGGCUUAACCUGGGAACUGCGUCUGAUACUGGAAGGCUUGAGGAUGGGAGAGGGAUGUAGAAUUCCAGGUGUAGCGGUGAAAUGCGUAGAUAUCAGGAGGAACACCGGUGGCGAAGGCGGGUCUCUGGGCCGAUACUGACGCUGAGGAGCGAAAGCGUGGGGAGCGAACAGG